UUUUUGGGUUGUCUGGAGCUUUGCUUAGUUCUUUUGUUCCCCUGGGGAGCAAAAUAUUUUAUUUCACCCCAUUUCUUUCUUUUCUUUUUGCUUUUUGCACAUUCUUAACAGAGUGGUUUGAUAAAUAGUCCUGAAUAUCUUGGGAAAAUUUGGGGAGGGGAUAAACCCUGUUAAAUUUCAAGAAAACCAUGAGGAGCAGAGUUUUAGUGAAACCUUAAAAAGAAAAGUUAGAGGAAAAAAUAAAACAGUCUGUGUGAAUAUUUUGUGACACAGCUGAAUCAAAGCAAAGCAGAGAACUAAAAAACCUAUUUAUGAAAAUGUAGGGUCAAAUAAAGUCAUCCGAUUUACUCUUUUGUGCAUUUCUCAUUUGUUUAUUUGGUAGAUUUGUUUAAAGCUGAGAUUAUAAGAGAAAAGCAGAGAACAUUUGAAUUUUGAAUGUCUGAACAAUUUGAUAUUAAAUCAACCAUUAAAGGAAGAAUCCAAAAAGCUACAAAUAUAAAAAUCAGUACGCCCUUUAGAUAAAUAAGGUCAGUUGUUGAGACAAAACAGAGUUUAUGUCUCAAAGGAGGGAUAUAGACUAGGAGAAGAGGAACGAUUUACCUAAUAAAGAUUUCUCAGUUUGAUUGUAACAGGAGCCUGAACAACAUCACCGGGGCCGCAGGAGACUGGAUCAGCUACCAAUAAAGAAACUGGUGCAGGUGGAGGUGUUCAAGAUCACACCAAGCUCUCCUGAACAGACUGACAGCUCUAAAGACUCAGGAAAAAGGCUCCUGGUUCCACACGACCCUCAGUAAGAAGGCCCAACUUCAGACAAAGAGGUGAACUGUAAGUUCCUUGACCCCUGACCUCCGUGUAAAGUCUGAGACCAGGAGGAGGGUCAUCAGGAGGAGAUCUCCUCGACGUGGGGAGUGGUUACUGAGGAAACACAGUGACGUCAGACACUUCUGGAAAACUCCUGAUCUCACCGCAGAGCUCCGAGGGAUCCUCCAGGAAGAGUGACGCUAUUCUGGAGAAUUCAUUGGACAAUAGGUGGUCCAACAGGAGGAACCACAGAGGAUGGAGGGAAGGAGGAAGAUAGAAGGAUGAAGGACAGGUCAAUUAGACCUGUAAUUGGUUUGUGUGUUUUUGGUGUCUUUGUUGGUGUUGUUUGUUUUUUGAUCCACAGAAGACACAAAGAACAGAGUCAGGAUUCAAACCAGCCUCCUGCAUAACAGCAGCAGGUUCAAAUGCUGCAGCUGAAUCACGAGUCUCCUGCUCCUCUUCCAAGUGAUCUGAGCACAGACAGAAAAUAACACUGGUGAACAUCCAGCAGAUGGCUGCUGCAUGUUCUUCUGCAAUCAUUUUCCUCACAAAACAUUAAACAACACCAGAAUUCAUAAAGAAAGGAGGAUGAAAUCGCUGGCAUGUUGGACACAAGUCAGGUCUCCUGAAGAUCUCAAAAGGAGUCCCCCAAAGCUACGUUUUAGGCCCUAGUUAUAUUCCGUUCUGAUUGUAAUAUUGGAAAGAGGAUGCACAUGACGCAGUACUUUACUCACUUGGCUCUACUUUAAGUCAGACUGUUGAGCUGCUUCAAACUGCCUCUCAGUGACUGCAUGGAGCAUUGUGUGUUAACUGAGUUUAAAGCUGGUUCUAAGAAAACAUAAUUCAUAUUAUUGUCCAGAAAUUACUCCUUGAUUCCAGAUAAUGCUGGUAUCCAUGCAUCUCCAUACAAGUACUUGAAUAUGAUAUGACUUUCCUUUAGAGUUCAUAUUGAGCACUUAGUGAAAAGUUUGAAGAGUAGACGGGCUCGUCUGAAUUUAGCUACGACACUUGUACAAACUGUCAUUAAAUGUCCUGGAUUACAGCGAUAUUUUACAUGCACUUUGUUAUCUAGACUGUGAGUCACAGUUCUUUACGUUUCAUAUUAAUUCAUUUUCCAUUACUCACCUCUGUGCACUUUAUAAUGUUGCUUCUUGGCCUUCACUGACCCUAAGCAGAUAACAGCACUGAUACAUUUUUAUGUACUAAGCUGUGCUGCAGCUCUUAUCUGUGUAAAUGCUGAACACCUUCAAACAGCUGCCAUGACUUUGCCUUCGUCUUCAUGGUUUUUCUUGAGGGUACCAAAGAUUCUGAACUUGUUCAUAACCGCACAUUAAUACACAACGCUUCGGUCUCUGUGGGAGAGUUAGAGCUCUGACCGAGGCUUCUGUAACUGAAGAAUGCAACUGAUAUUCAUAAGAUGGACUUCGUAUUUGGUACUGUGUUACUUUGUUCCUGUUAAUGUGUAUCCAUGUUAUUUUUGCUUCUGUUCAUUUUGUAAUUUCAUAAUGGUGCAUUAUGGUGCUUACUUACUGGAUCUC